CUUUACUAUAGCUUCGCCUUGGCGUUAGCAUCAACAUGUGUAGGAUAGGUGGGAGGCUUUGAAGCAGGGGCGCCAGUCCUUGUGGAGCCAACCUUGAAAUACCACCCUUAUUGUUGCUGACGUCUAACCGAGGUCCGUCUAUCCGGAUCCGGGACAUGGCGUGGUGGGUAGUUUGACUGGGGCGGUCGCCUCCCAAAGUGUAACGGAGGCGCGCGAUGGUGAGCUCAGAGCGGUCGGAAAUCGCUCGUCGAGUGCAAUGGCAUAAGCUCGCCUGACUGCGAGACUGACAAGUCGAGCAGAGACGAAAGUCGGCCAUAGUGAUCCGGUGGUCCCGCGUGGAAGGGCCAUCGCUCAACGGAUAAAAGGUA
rnacentral:rRNA from 1 species